rnacentral:rRNA from 1 species
UACGGGGGGAGCAAGCGUUGUUCGGAUUUACUGGGCGUAAAGGGCGCGUAGGCGGCCAGCACAAGUCAGGUGUGAAAUCUCGGGGCUUAACUCCGAAACUGCAUUCGAUACUGCCGUGCUUGAGGACUGGAGAGGAGACUGGAAUUUACGGUGUAGCGGUGAAAUGCGUAGAUAUCGUAAGGAAGACCAGUGGCGAAGGCGGGUCUCUGGACAGUUCCUGACGCUGAGGCACGAAGGUCAGGGGAGCAAACGGG